UACGUAGGGUGCGAGCGUUAAUCGGAAUUACUGGGCGUAAAGCGUGCGCAGGCGGUUCGUUGUGUCGGCGGUGAAAGCCCCGGGCUUAACCUGGGAAUGGCCGUUGAAACUGGCGAACUGGAGUGUGGCAGAGGGGGGGGUGGAAUUCCGCGUGUAGCAGUGAAAUGCGUAGAGAUGCGGAGGAACACCGAUGGCGAAGGCAGCCCCCCUGGGCUAACACUGACGCUCAGGCACGAAAGCGUGGGGAGCAAACAGG
rnacentral:rRNA from 1 species